rnacentral:rRNA from 1 species
CCGCGCCCCGGGCGGGGCGGGGGCACGGGGGGAACGCGAAGAACCUUACCAAGGCUUAAAUGUAGAUUGACCGUUUUGGAAACAGAACUUUCGCAAGACAAUUUACAAGGUGCUGCAUGGUUGUCGUCAGCUCGUGCCGUGAGGUGUCAGGUUAAGUCCUAUAACGAGCGCAACCCCUGUUGUUAGUUGCCAGCGAGUCAUGUCGGGAACUCUAACAAGACUGCCAGUGCAAACUGUGAGGAAGGUGGGGAUGACGUCAAAUCAUCACGGCCCUUACGCCUUGGGCUACACACGUGCUACAAUGGCCGGUACAGAGAGCAGCCACUGGGCGACCAGGAGCGAAUCUAUAAAACCGGUCACAGUUCGGAUCGGAGUCUGCAACUCGACUCCGUGAAGCUGGAAUCGCUAGUAUCGGAUUCAGCCAUGAUCCGGUGAAUACGUUCCCGGGCCUUGCACACCGA